AGAAAUCAGGAUCGAUAUUUGGAACAUAUACAGAGUUCAACAUAUUGGAAAUCUCACUUCAAUCGUCAUUGUGUGACGUUAAUUUGUCUUUCUUGUAGAAUUAAGUUUUAAUAGAAGAAAACAUUACAUUUUAUAUACGUUGGUAUUUCGAGCGCCAGAAAGUCGAUAAUUGGGGGGGGGGCAGAUAUUCAUAUAUUCAUGUUCACAGACUGUAAAAACAAUCGCUUUCAAAGGAAAUAAAUGAUGCAGAACAUGAAUAUAUGAAUAUCUGCCCUCCCCCCCAAUUAUCGACUUUCAGGCGCCCCUGUUGGUAUUGCAUGUAGCGUACUUAAUAUGAUGCGUAGGAAGAGUUGGCCAUGCGGUUCAUCGGUUUACGCCUGUAUUCUAAAAGCUCAUUCACGCUCACACUGAAGGAGUGGAGGUUCAAUCUGAGCUUUCCUUGAGUGUCAAUGUUGUUUUAGAAUAGGUGAAGGGUGAGUAGUCGCAUAGUAAGCUAUGACACUAACCCGUCAGCUACUCAAAAACAGCAUUGACACUCUAGGGCAGCUCAGAUCGGACUUCCACUCCUUGAGUGUGAGUGGGCUUUUAGGAUACAGGCGUUAGUCUUAGAUUAAGUUAAUUCACAUGUUUGCUUAUUAUUGUCCAGUACAAUAGUUUUGUCAGAUUUAUAGCAAGUCAAUUGUAGGUAUAACAAGACCGUGUCCUAUUCUCGUCCCUAUACUGUACUUUUAUUUCUUGCUUAGCUACGUCAAUCUUUCAAUCUUUUAAAUUUCAUAAAUAAAUAUAGAC